rnacentral:rRNA from 1 species
UGGGGAAUCUUGGACAAUGGGCGCAAGCCUGAUCCAGCCAUGCCGCGUGGAUGAUGAAGGCCUUAGGGUUGUAAAAUCCUUUCGUUGGGGACGAUAAUGACGGUACCCAAAGAAGAAGCUCCGGCUAACUUCGUGCCAGCAGCCGCGGUAAUACGAAGGGGGCUAGCGUUGUUCGGAUUUACUGGGCGUAAAGCGCGUGUAGGCGGACUUGUAAGUUGGGGGUGAAAUCCCGAGGCUCAACCUCGAAACUGCCUCCAAAACUACAAAUCUGGACCUAAGUAGAGGCAAGUGGAAUUGCGAGUGUAGAGGUGAAAUUCGUAGAUAUUCGCAGGAACACCAGUGGCGAAGGCGACUUGCUGGACUUAUGGUGACGCUGAGACGCGAAAGCGUGGGGAGCAAACAGGAUUAGAUACCCAGGUAGUCCCUGAGCGGGCUGGCAAGGCGCAU